AAAUGCUUGAGUCAUGUUGUU
rnacentral:miRNA from 1 species